rnacentral:rRNA from 1 species
GACGAACGCUGGCGGCGUGCUUAAUACAUGCAAGUUGAGCGCUGAAGGUUGGUACUUGUACCAACUGGAUGAGCAGCGAACGGGUGAGUAACGCGUGGGGAAUCUGCCUUUGAGCGGGGGACAACAUUUGGAAACGAAUGCUAAUACCGCAUAAAAACUUUAAACACAAGUUUUAAGUUUGAAAGAUGCAAUUGCAUCACUCAAAGAUGAUCCCGCGUUGUAUUAGCUAGUUGGUGAGGUAAAGGCUCACCAAGGCGAUGAUACAUAGCCGACCUGAGAGGGUGAUCGGCCACAUUGGGACUGAGACACGGCCCAAACUCCUACGGGAGGCAGCAGUAGGGAAUCUUCGGCAAUGGACGAAAGUCUGACCGAGCAACGCCGCGUGAGUGAAGAAGGUUUUCGGAUCGUAAAACUCUGUUGGUAGAGAAGAACGUUGGUGAGAGUGGAAAGCUCAUCAAGUGACGGUAACUACCCAGAAAGGGACGGCUAACUACGUG